rnacentral:rRNA from 1 species
UGGGGAAUAUUGCACAAUGGGCGCAAGCCUGAUGCAGCCAUGCCGCGUGUGUGAAGAAGGCCUUCGGGUUGUAAAGCACUUUCAGCGAGGAGGAAGGUGGUGAGCUUAAUACGCUCAUCAAUUGACGUUACUCGCAGAAGAAGCACCGGCUAACUCCGUGCCAGCAGCCGCGGUAAUACGGAGGGUGCAAGCGUUAAUCGGAAUUACUGGGCGUAAAGCGCACGCAGGCGGUUUGUUAAGUCAGAUGUGAAAUCCCCGGGCUCAACCUGGGAACUGCAUUUGAAACUGGCAAGCUAGAGUCUCGUAGAGGGGGGUAGAAUUCCAGGUGUAGCGGUGAAAUGCGUAGAGAUCUGGAGGAAUACCGGUGGCGAAGGCGGCCCCCUGGACGAAGACUGACGCUCAGGUGCGAAAAGCGUGGGGCAGCAAACAGGAUUAGAUACCCUGGUAGUCCACGCUGUAAACGAUGUCGAUUUGGAGGUUGUGCCCUUGAGGCGUGGCUUCCGGAGCUAACGCGUUAAAUCGACCGCCUGGGGAGUACGGCCGCAAGGUUAAAACUCAAAUGAAUUG